CCUACGGGUGGCAGCAGUGGGGAAUAUUGGGCAAUGGGCGCAAGCCUGACCCAGCAAUGCCGCGUGAAGGAAGCAGGCUUUCGGGUUGUAAACUUCUUUGACAGGGGAAGAGCAGAAGACGGUACCCUGAAAACAAGCCACGGCUAACUACGUGCCAGCAGCCGCGGUAAUACGUAGGUGGCAAGCGUUGUCCGGAUUUACUGGGUGUAAAGGGCGUGUAGCCGGGAAGGCAAGUCAGAUGUGAAAUCCGGAGGCUCAACCUCCGAAUUGCAUUUGAAACUGUUUUUCUUGAGGACUGGAGGGGGCGACUGAAAUCCGUGGGUAGGCGGGGAAUGCGUAGAUAUAAGGAGGAACACCAGUGGCGAAGGCGGUCUGGUGGACAGCAACUGACGGUGAGGCGCGAAAGCGUGGGGAGCAAACAGGAGUAGAUACCCCUGUAGUC
rnacentral:rRNA from 1 species